UCCUGGCUCAGAGCGAACGCUGGCGGCGUACUUAACACAUGCAAGUCGAACGAGGAUCAUCGGUGUAGCAAUACAUCGCUGGUCCUAGUGGCGCACGGGUGAGUAACACGUGGGUAACCUGCCCUUGAGUUCGGGAUACCCCCUCGAAAGGGGGGCUAAUACCGGAUACGUUCCUCGGAUCGACAGGUCUGGGGAGGAAAGGUGGCGCAAGCUGCCGCUCUUGGAGGGGCUCGCGGCCUAUCAGCUAGUUGGCGGGGUAACGGCCCACCAAGGCUAUGACGGGUAGCUGGUCUGAGAGGACGACCAGUCACACGGGGACUGAGACACGGCCCCGACUCCUACGGGAGGCAGCAGUGGGGAAUUUUCCGCAAUGGGCGAAAGCCUGACGGAGUGACGCCGCGUGUGGGACGAAGGCCUUCGGGUCGUAAACCACUGUCAGUGGGAAAGAAGGGUGUCGGCGCUAAUACCGCCGGCACUUGACGGUACCUGCAGAGGAAGCCCCGGCCAACUCUGUGCCAGCAGCCGCGGUAAGACAGAGGGGGCAAGCGUUGCUCGGAAUUACUGGGCGUAAAGGGCGCGUAGGCGGGAUGGCAAGUCGGUCGUGAAAUCCUUCGGCUCAACCGAAGAACGUCGAUCGAUACUGCUGUUCUUGAGGAUUGCAGAGGAGACUGGAAUUCCCGGUGUAGCGGUGAAAUGUGUAGAGAUCG
rnacentral:rRNA from 1 species